rnacentral:rRNA from 1 species
CACGUAGGGCGCAAGCGUUGUCCGGAAUUAUUGGGCGUAAAGAGCUCGUAGGCGGUCUGUUGCGUCCGCUGUGAAAACCCGGGGCUUAACCCUGGGCUGGCAGUGGAUACGGACAGACUAGAGGUAGGUAGGGGAGAAUGGAAUUCCCGGUGUAGCGGUGAAAUGCGCAGAUAUCGGGAGGAAUACCAGUGGCGAAGGCGGCCUUCUGGACGGAUACUGACGCUGAGGCGCGAAAGCCAGGGGAGCAAAGCGGG